rnacentral:rRNA from 1 species
GAUGAACGCUAGCGGCAGGCCUAACACAUGCAAGUCGAGGGGUAGACAUCUUCGGAUGUUGAGACCGGCGCACGGGUGCGUAACGCGUAUGCAAUCUACCUUAUACUAAGGGAUAGCCCAGAGAAAUUUGGAUUAAUACCUUAUGGUUAAUAAAGCCGGCAUCGGUUUAAUUAUAAAGAUUUAUUGGUAUAAGAUGAGCAUGCGUCCCAUUAGUUAGUUGGUAAGGUAACGGCUUACCAAGACGAUGAUGGGUAGGGGUCCUGAGAGGGAGAUCCCCCACACUGGUACUGAGACACGGACCAGACUCCUACGGGAGGCAGCAGUGAGGAAUAUUGGUCAAUGGACGGAAGUCUGAACCAGCCACGCCGCGUGCAGGAUGAAGCAUCUAUGGUGUGUAAACUGCUUUUGUACGGGAAGAAAAAGCUACGUGUAGUUUACUGACGGUACCGUAAGAAUAAGGAUCGGCUAACUCCGUGCCAGCCGCCGCCGUAA